AGCAGCCGCGGUAAUUCCAGCUCCAAUAGCGUAUAUUAAAGUUGCUGCAGUUAAAAAGCUCGUAGUUGAAUUUCGGGACCAUCAUGUCGGUCGUGCCUCGGUACGUACUGGCAUUGUUGAUUUCUCCUUUCUGAAGAACCUUGAUGUCAUUAAUUUGGUGUCUUGGGGAAUCAGGACCGUUACUUUGAAAAAAUUAGAGUGUUUAAAGCAGGCUCACGCUUGAAUACAUUAGCAUGGAAUAAUGAAAUAGGACGUUUGAUUCUAUUUUGUUGGUUUCUAGGAUCGACGUAAUGAUUAAUAGGGAUAGUUGGGGGCAUUAGUAUUCAAUUGUCAGAGGUGAAAUUCUUGGAUUUAUUGAAGACUAACUACUGCGAAAGCAUUUGCCGAAGGAUGUUUUCAUUAAUCAAGAACGAAAGUUAGGGGAUCGAAGACGAUCAGAUACCGUCGUAGUCUUAACCAUAAACUAUGCCGACUAGGGAUCGGAUGAUGUUA
rnacentral:rRNA from 1 species